rnacentral:pre_miRNA from 3 species
UCUUAUGGAUGAGCAAAGUAGGUGGUUUCUUGAGAUGGAUUCUACUCCUUGAGAAGAUGCUGUGAA